rnacentral:rRNA from 1 species
GAGUUUGAUCCUGGCUCAGGAUAAACGCUGGCGGCGCACAUAAGACAUGCAAGUCGAACGAACUUAAUUCAUUCUUUUAGAUUGGAAGCGGUUAGUGGCGGACUGGUGAGUAACGCGUGAGCAACCUGCCUAUUAGAGGGGAAUAACAGUGAGAAAUCAUUGCUAAUACCGCAUAUGCUUACACUAUUGCAUGAUGGAGUAAGGAAAGGAGCAAUCCGCUAAUAGAUGGGCUCGCGUCUGAUUAGCUAGUUGGUGGGGUAGAAGCCUACCAAGGCGACGAUCAGUAGCCGGACUGAGAGGUUGAACGGCCACAUUGGGACUGAGAUACGGCCCAGACUCCUACGGGAGGCAGCAGUCGGGAAUAUUGCGCAAUGGAGGGGACUCUGACGCAGUGACGCCGCGUAUAGGAAGAAGGUUUUCGGAUUGUAAACUAUUGUCGUUAGGGAAGAAAAAAGACAGUACCUAAGGAGGAAGCCCCGGCUAACUAUGUGCCAGCAGCCGCGGUAAUACAUAGGGGGCAAGCGUUAUCCGGAAUUAUUGGGUGUAAAGGGUGCGUAGACGGGUGUUUAAGUUGGUUGUGAAAUCCCUCGGCUCAACUGAGGAACUGCAACCAAAACUGGAUAUCUUGAGUGUCGGAGAGGAAAGUGGAAUUCCUAGUGU